rnacentral:rRNA from 1 species
CCUACGGGAGGCAGCAGUGAGGAAUAUUGGCCAAUGGCCGGAAGCCUGAACCAGCCAAGCCGCGUGAGGGAGGAAGGCGCAGAGCGUCGCAGACCUCUUUUGUCGGGGGAUAAAAGGCCGGACUCGUACGGUCCUGAGGGUACCCGGAGAAAAAGCAUCGGCUAAGUCCGUGCCAGCAGCGGCGGUAAUACGGAGGAUGCGAGCGUUAUCCGGAUUCAUUGGGUUUAAAGGGGGCGAAGGCGGACCUUUAAGCCGGCGGUGAAAUCGCGGGGCUCAACCCCGACGAGCCGUCGGAACUGGGGGGCUUGAGUGCGGCGAAGGCAUGCGGAAUGCGCGGUGUAGCGGUGAAAUGCAUAGAUAUGGCGCAGAACCCCGAUUGCGAAGGCAGCGUGCCGUGCCGCCACUGACGCUGAGGCACGAAAGCGCGGGGAUCGAACAGGAUUAGAUACCCUUGUAGUC